rnacentral:rRNA from 1 species
CCUACGGGAGGCUGCAGUGGGGAAUAUUGGACAAUGGGGGAAACCCUGAUCCAGCGACGCCGCGUGAGUGAAGAAGUAUUUCGGUACGUAAAGCUCUAUCAGCAGGAAAGAAAAUGACGGUACCUGACCAAUAAGCCCCGGCUAACUCCGUGCCAGCAGCCGCGGCAACACGUAGGGGGCAAGCGUAAUCCGGAUUUACUGGGUGUAAAGGGAGCGUAGACGGCAGCGCAAGUCUGGAGUGAAAUGCCGGGGCCCAACCCCGGAACUGCUCUGGAAACUGGGAGGCUGGAGUGCAGGAGAGGUAAGCGGAAUGCCUGGUGUAGCGGUGAAAUGCGUAGAUAUCAGGAAGAACACCGGUGGCGAAGGCGGCUUGCUGGACUGUAACUGACGUUGAGGCUCGAAGGCGUGGGGAGCGAACAGGAUUAGAUACCCGGGUAGUC